AUCGCUUCUCUGCUCACCGAACUUAGAUUAAGUGUAGCAUCUGUUCUUCUCACGUUAGUACCCUGAGACCGAAACCAUUCCUUUCCUCUAUGUAUUAAUCGGAUUUUUGAACUUGGAUUACGGAGCUGGAGCUUGCUCCACCCUGCUCAUGGGAU
rnacentral:snRNA from 1 species